AUUGAACGCUGGCGGCAGGCUUAACACAUGCAAGUCGAACGAUGACUAACUAGCUUGCUAGUUAUGAUUAGUGGCGGACGGGUGAGUAACAUUUAGGAAUCUGCCUAGUAGUGGGGGAUAGCUCGGGGAAACUCGAAUUAAUACCGCAUACGACCUACGGGUGAAAGGGGGCGCAAGCUCUUGCUAUUAGAUGAGCCUAAAUCAGAUUAGCUAGUUGGUGGGGUAAAGGCCUACCAAGGCGGCGAUCUGUAACUGGUCUGAGAGGAUGAUCAGUCACACCGGAACUGAGACACGGUCCGGACUCCUACGGGAGGCAGCAGUGGGGAAUAUUGGACAAUGGGGGCAACCCUGAUCCAGCCAUGCCGCGUGUGUGAAGAAGGCCUUUUGGUUGUAAAGCACUUUAAGCAGGGAGGAGAGGCUAAUGGUUAAUACCCAUUAGAUUAGACGUUACCUGCAGAAUAAGCACCGGCUAACUCUGUGCCAGCAGCCGCGGUAAUACAGAGGGUGCGAGCGUUAAUCGGAAUUACUGGGCGUAAAGCGAGUGUAGGUGGCUCAUUAAGUCACAUGUGAAAUCCCCGGGCUUAACCUGGGAACUGCAUGUGAUACUGGUGGUGCUAGAAUAUGUGAGAGGGAAGUAGAAUUCCAGGUGUAGCGGUGAAAUGCGUAGAGAUCUGGAGGAAUACCGAUGGCGAAGGCAGCUUCCUGGCAUAAUAUUGACACUGAGAUUCGAAAGCGUGGGUAGCAAACAGGAUUAGAUACCCUGGUAGUCCACGCCGUAAACGAUGUCUACUAGCCGUUGGGGUCCUUGAGACUUUAGUGGCGCAGUUAACGCGAUAAGUAGACCGCCUGGGGAGUACGGCCGCAAGGUUAAAACUCAAAUGAAUUGACGGGGGCCCGCACAAGCGGUGGAGCAUGUGGUUUAAUUCGAUGCAACGCGAAGAACCUUACCUGGUCUUGACAUAGUGAGAAUCCUGCAGAGAUGCGGGAGUGCCUUCGGGAAUUCACAUACAGGUGCUGCAUGGCUGUCGUCAGCUCGUGUCGUGAGAUGUUGGGUUAAGUCCCGCAACGAGCGCAACCCUUUUCCUUAUUUGCCAGCGGGUUAAGCCGGGAACUUUAAGGAUACUGCCAGUGACAAACUGGAGGAAGGCGGGGACGACGUCAAGUCAUCAUGGCCCUUACGACCAGGGCUACACACGUGCUACAAUGGUAGGUACAGAGGGUUGCUACACAGCGAUGUGAUGCUAAUCUCAAAAAGCCUAUCGUAGUCCGGAUUGGAGUCUGCAACUCGACUCCAUGAAGUCGGAAUCGCUAGUAAUCGCAGAUCAGAAUGCUGCGGUGAAUACGUUCCCGGGCCU
rnacentral:rRNA from 1 species